AAUAUUACAAACUCACCACCACGAACUCAUCUACCAAAUACUUAAAUAUCUCUAUAUAUUAUAAUAUAAUUUAAAAAGUAAUCAAAUUUAAUAUCUGCAAGCAUAUAUGUUAUUUUAAUUGAUAUCACAAACUUACCACUACAAGCUCAUCUACCAACCUAAACAGCAUUAUAUCUAUAUAUUAUAAUAUAAAUUUUAAAAUAAUCAAAUUUAAUAUUUGCAGGUAUAUAUGCUACUUUAAUUUAUAUCACAAACUCACCACCACAAACUCAUCUACCAAUUACUUGAAAAAUUUACAUCAUACUAAUAUUAAAUUUGUAGCUGGACUCUAUAUAUAUAUAUAUAGAGAGAGAGAGAGAGAGAGAGAGAG
rnacentral:lncRNA from 1 species